CACGCAGGCGGUCGGAUAGGUCAGAUGUGAAAGCCCCGGGCUCAACCUGGGAACUGCAUUUGAAACUGUCUGACUAGAGUCUUGUAGAGGGGGGUAGAAUUCCAGGUGUAGCGGUGAAAUGCGUAGAGAUCUGGAGGAAUACCGGUGGCGAAGGCGGCCCCCUGGACAAAGACUGACGCUCAGGUGCGAAAGCGUGGGGAGCAAACA
rnacentral:rRNA from 1 species